UUUUGAUCCAGAGGCUAUUGCAGCACUGGCUGCUUGGCGACGGAGAGGCUCGGCAUCCUGCACCACGAGAGCAGAUUGGGUUUUCCUAUGCUCGAUUCCAUUGCUGGACCGCUGGAGUGGGUACUGGGUGAGUUGGAGUUCGAUUUCGUUAUGGAUGUGCGGCCCGUGGUAACAAUUAGGGAGAGGUAUUUAAUCUGUCGGCUAGGAUCUGCAUUGGGAUUUUGAGAAUUAAGUGUGACCAAGCGGUGUAUAGUUGUCAAUCAAUUCCGUGAUUUGAAGUUUGCCCUUAAUUAGAAACCUGAAACUCAAGAACGUGGGUUUAUGUAUUUUAUCAGCCUAAAUGAAAUAAAUCAGUUACUUUGCACAACCAAGUCGAUAUUGUGUUUAAUUAGUAAUUAGUGAAAAAAUAUUGCAUAUAUAAUUAAGAAGUUACAUGAGCAGGUUCCAUUGUCAAGAUGAGGGCAUUGGCAUACAAACGCAUUGCUCUGAAUAUUCUGUUCCUUACAAGCUCGUAUGUAUUACAUGCACCAGGAGGGAAGGAACACCGUCUGCGGAGUUACUUAUGACAGUACUUUUUUGGGUCAUUCAAUCAGUGGACUCUGGAAUUUCUGUGUUGCUGGCAUUUACAACUUCAUGCUAUGGGGUGGGGAUACAAGUGUGAAAACUUGGAGAUCAAUAAAGGGACAAGUUGUUUAGCAUUUAUCUACCCUCUCGGCAGUGAUUGCAUAACAUGGCCGGCAGAUCAUUGGUGUCUGCGCCAUCUGCUGGUGGAUGGCACAAGAGGUGUUCAAGCGAGUGAAUGACAUGUACGCCGUGGCGGCACAACCCUGUUUCGGGGAGAAAAGGACUGAGGCCCUAUAGGUAACAACACAUCAUUCAGCCACGCGAAACAAACUUGUUAAGUACCUCAUUGUUAUACUGCACACACUUCUCGUAAUACUUAGCCAAAACUAUAAAUAGCUGCGGGAUAAAUUGUUCUUGUACAAACAAGGGGGUGGCUUUUCGAUACACUUUGGAGAAGACCCUGCUGUUAAAGAAGAUUAUGAUGGUACAGAGCACUCCGGAAACUAGAUA
rnacentral:rRNA from 1 species